GUAGCUUGAAAGGAGCCAGCAGCUACUACUCAGGCAGCCAGAGUCGGGGGAGGUGGACUAAGCUUGCCAGAGAAGGAGUGGAGACGAAGGGACAAAGAGAGAAAAAAGGAAGAAGGAACAGAAAGCACUAUGUUUACUGUGCCUUUGAGUGCUUAGUGCUGCUGUGGGGAGCGAGACAAAAACAGUGAAGAAUGGUGGGGGCAACAGCAUGCUCUGGGGUUCUGUUUCAGUGCUAUGGACUAGAAGAAUAGCCAUUUUUGAGGAAAAGCUGAAUGCAGCAAAGUACAGGUACUGUAUAUCCUUAAUGAAAUCAAGCUUUAAAGCACUCUGGACCUCAGACUGGACUGAAGAUUAACCUUCCAACAAAAUAAUGACCCUAAACAGAAAGCAAAGUCAACAUAGGAGUGGUGUAGGGUCAAUUAUCUGAAAGUUUUUGAGUGGCCCAACCAGAGCUUGGAUUUGAACCCACUUCAAAAUCUGUGGAGAGACCUGAAAAUAGCUGUUUACUGGAAGUUUCCAUCCAACCUGACUGAGCUUCAGAGAAUCAGCAGUUUGGAGAAAAAGACAGGUGACAAGACCUAGCCCCACAUACUGUACCCCGCGUUGGACUCGCCCAUUCCACCCUAGAUGCAUUAAAAGCAGGCAUCCAGAGAAGCAGAACGUCUGAUCAGACCCAGAGCCUUCUGAGAUAGAUCUGCACGAUAAUAGAUUUGAAGACAGAGAAGAUGGCAACUUUUCCUCUUUCUUUUGCAUCUACAGCAGGUAUUCUGUGGUGGCGAUCUGUGCCACCACCACCCGAUCAAAGCAC